rnacentral:rRNA from 1 species
GAUGAACGCUGGCGGCGUGCCUAAUACAUGCAAGUCGAGCGAACAGGCGAGGAGCUUGCUCCUCUGACGUUAGCGGCGGACGGGUGAGUAACACGUGGAUAACCUACCUAUAAGACUGGGAUAACUUCGGGAAACCGGAGCUAAUACCGGAUAAUAUAUUGAACCGCAUGGUUCAAUAGUGAAAGACGGUUUUGCUGUCACUUAUAGAUGGAUCCGCGCCGCAUUAGCUAGUUGGUAAGGUAACGGCCUACCAAGGCAACGAUGCGUAGCCGACCUGAGAGGGUGAUCGGCCACACUGGAACUGAGACACGGUCCAGACUCCUACGGGAGGCAGCAGUAGGGAAUCUUCCGCAAUGGGCGAAAGCUUGACGGAGCAACGCCGCGUGAGUGAUGAAGGUCUUCGGAUCGUAAAACUCUGUUAUUAGGGAAGAACAAAUGUGUAAGUAACUAUGCACGUCUUGACGGUACCUAAUCAGAAAGCCACGGCUAACUACGUG